rnacentral:rRNA from 1 species
UACGUAGGGGGCAAGCGUUGUCCGGAUUUAUUGGGCGUAAAGAGCUCGUAGGCGGUUCCGUAAGUCGUGAAGUCAAAUCUCUGGGCUCAACCCAGAAUCGCUUCCGAUACUGCGGUGACUGGAGUCCGGUAGGGGAGUGUGGAAUUCCUGGUGUAGCGGUGAAAUGCGCAGAUAUCAGGAGGAACACCAACAGCGAAGGCAGCACCCUGGGCCGGUACUGACGCUGAGGAGCGAAAGCAUGGGGAGCGAACAGG